GAUGAACGCUGGCGGCGUGCCUAAUACAUGCAAGUCGAGCGAACAGACGAGGAGCUUGCUCCUCUGACGUUAGCGGCGGACGGGUGAGUAACACGUGGAUAACCUACCUAUAAGACUGGGAUAACUUCGGGACACCGGAGCUAAUACCGGAUAAUAUAUUGAACCGCAUGGUUCAAUAGUGAAAGACGGUUUUGCUGUCACUUAUAGAUGGAUCCGCGCCGCAUUAGCUAGUUGGUAAGGUAACGGCUUACCAAGGCAACGAUGCGUAGCCGACCUGAGAGGGUGAUCGGCCACACUGGAACUGAGACACGGUCCAGACUCCUACGGGAGGCAGCAGUAGGGAAUCUUCCGCAAUGGGCGAAAGCCUGACGGAGCAACGCCGCGUGAGUGAUGAAGGUCUUCGGAGCGUAAAACUCUGUUAUUAGGGAAGAACAAAUGUGUAAGUAACUAUGCACGUCUUGACGGUACCUAAUCAGAAAGCCACGGCUAACUACGUG
rnacentral:rRNA from 1 species